rnacentral:rRNA from 1 species
AGAGUUUGAUCCUGGCUCAGGAUGAACGCUAGCUACAGGCUUAACACAUGCAAGUCGAGGGGCAGCAUGGUCUUAGCUUGCUAAGGCCGAUGGCGACCGGCGCACGGGUGAGUAACACGUAUCCAACCUGCCGUCUACUCUUGGACAGCCUUCUGAAAGGAAGAUUAAUACAAGAUGGCAUCAUGAGUCCGCAUGUUCACAUGAUUAAAGGUAUUCCGGUAGACGAUGGGGAUGCGUUCCAUUAGAUAGUAGGCGGGGUAACGGCCCACCUAGUCUUCGAUGGAUAGGGGUUCUGAGAGGAAGGUCCCCCACAUUGGAACUGAGACACGGUCCAAACUCCUACGGGAGGCAGCAGUGAGGAAUAUUGGUCAAUGGGCGAGAGCCUGAACCAGCCAAGUAGCGUGAAGGAUGACUGCCCUAUGGGUUGUAAACUUCUUUUAUAAAGGAAUAAAGUCGGGUAUGGAUACCCGUUUGCAUGUACUUUAUGAAUAAGGAUCGGCUAACUCCGUGCCAGCAGCCGCGGUAAUACGGAGGAUCCGAGCGUUAUCCGGAUUUAUUGGGUUUAAAGGGAGCGUAGAUGGAUGUUUAAGUCAGUUGUGAAAGUUUGCGGCUCAACCGUAAAAUUGCAGUUGAUACUGGAUAUCUUGAGUGCAGUUGAGGCAGGCGGAAUUCGUGGUGUAGCGGUGAAAUGCUUAGAUAUCACGAAGAACUCCAAUUGCGAAGGCAGCCUGCUAAGCUGCAACUGACAUUGAGGCUCGAAAGUGUGGGUAUCAAACAGGAUUAGAUACCCUGGUAGUCCACACGGUAAACGAUGAAUACUCGCUGUUUGCGAUAUACUGCAAGCGGCCAAGCGAAAGCGUUAAGUAUUCCACCUGGGGAGUACGCCGGCAACGGUGAAACUCAAAGGAAUUGACGGGGGCCCGCACAAGCGGAGGAACAUGUGGUUUAAUUCGAUGAUACGCGAGGAACCUUACCCGGGCUUAAAUUGCAGAUGAAUUACGGUGAAAGCCGUAAGCCGCAAGGCAUCUGUGAAGGUGCUGCAUGGUUGUCGUCAGCUCGUGCCGUGAGGUGUCGGCUUAAGUGCCAUAACGAGCGCAACCCUUGUUGUCAGUUACUAACAGGUUCUGCUGAGGACUCUGACAAGACUGCCAUCGUAAGAUGUGAGGAAGGUGGGGAUGACGUCAAAUCAGCACGGCCCUUACGUCCGGGGCUACACACGUGUUACAAUGGGGGGUACAGAGGGCCGCUACCACGCGAGUGGAUGCCAAUCCCAAAAACCUCUCUCAGUUCGGACUGGAGUCUGCAACCCGACUCCACGAAGCUGGAUUCGCUAGUAAUCGCGCAUCAGCCACGGCGCGGUGAAUACGUUCCCGGGCCUUGUACACACCGCCCGUCAAGCCAUGGGAGCCGGGGGUACCUGAAGUGCGUAACCGCGAGGAGCGCCCUAGGGUAAAACUGGUGACUGGGGCUAAGUCGUAACAAGGUAGAA